rnacentral:rRNA from 1 species
GAUGAACGCUGGCGGCGUGCCUAAUACAUGCGAGUCGAGCGAACAGACGAGGAGCUUGCUCCUCUGACGUUAGCGGCGGACGGGUGAGUAACACGUGGAUAACCUACCUAUAAGACUGGGAUAACUUCGGGAAACCGGAGCUAAUACCGGAUAAUAUAUUGAACCGCAUGGUUCAAUAGUGAAAGACGGUUUUGCUGUCACUUAUAGAUGGAUCCGCGCCGCAUUAGCUAGUUGGUAAGGUAACGGCUUACCAAGGCGACGAUGCGUAGCCGACCUGAGAGGGUGAUCGGCCACACUGGAACUGAGACACGGUCCAGACUCCUACGGGAGGCAGCAGUAGGGAAUCUUCCGCAAUGGGCGAAAGCCUGACGGAGCAACGCCGCGUGAGUGAUGAAGGUCUUCGGAUCGGAAAACUCUGUAAUUAGGGAAGAACAAAUGUGUAAGUAACUAUGCACGUCUUGACGGUACCUAAUCAGAAAGCCACGGCUAACUACGUG